rnacentral:ncRNA from 1 species
AAAAAAAAUUUAUGAUUUUAUAAAUUUAUUAUAAAUUUAUUUUACAUAUAAAUUUUAGUGUAGAUUUUUAAUUAUUUAAAUAAUAAUUAUUAUAUAAAGUAGUAAAUAAUAUUAAAAAUUUAAGAAAUUAAGAUUUAGUAAUAUAAAAAUUAAAAACUAAUUUUGUGCCAGCAGUUGCGGUUAUACAAAAUUUAAAUUAAAUUUUAUUAGUUAAUUAUAAAAUAAUUUUUUUUAAAUUAAAUAUUAAAUUAUUAAGUGAAAUUUUAAUUUAAUAAAAAUAUAUGUUUAAAUUAUGUUUAUAAAAAAUUUAAAUAUAAACUAGGAUUAGAUACCCUAUUAUUAUAAAUUUAAAUAAAAAUAUUAAAAUAGUAAAUAAUUAUUUAUUGAAAUUUAAAUAACUUGGCGGUAUUUUAGUUUCUUUAGAGGAAUCUGUCUAAUAAUUGAUAAUCCACGAAUAAAUUUACUUAAUUUACAUUUUGUAUAUCGUUGUUAAAAAAAUAUUUUUAAAGAAAAAUAAUAUUUAAGAAUUAUAAAAUAAAAUUAAAUCAGAUCAAGAUGCAGAUAAUAAUUAAGAAUAUGAUGGAUUACAAUAAAUUUAUUUAAAUGAAUAUAAUUUUGUAAUAAAUAAUUGAAAGUGGAUUUAAAUGUAAUUUUAUUUAAUUUAUUAAAAUGAUUGAAAAUUAAAAUAUGUACAUAUUGCCCGUCGCUUUCAUAUAUAAAUUGAAAUAAGUCGUAACAAAGUAGAGGUACUGGAAAGUGUUUCUAGAAAGAU